AGAGCUUCGGCAGGAAGUCAGGGAGUAUUCGAGUGGCGGACGGGUGAGUAACGCGUGAGCAACCUGUCCCAGACAGGGGGAUAACACUUGGAAACAGGUGCUAAUACCGCAUAAGACCACGGUACCACAUGGUACAGAGGUAAAAGGAGCAAUCCGGUUUGGGGUGGGCUCGCGUCCGAUUUAGAUAGUUGGUGAGGUAACGGCCCACCAAGUCAACGAUCGGUAGCCGACCUGAGAGGGUGAUCGGCCACAUUGGAACUGAGAGACGGUCCAAACUCCUACGGGAGGCAGCAGUGGGGAAUAUUGGGCAAUGGGCGAAAGCCUGACCCAGCAACGCCGCGUGAGUGAAGAAGGCCUUCGGGUUGUAAAGCUCUGUUAUAGUUGACGAAGGAAGUGACGGUAGGCUAUAAGGAAGCCCCGGCUAACUACGUGCCAGCCGCCGC
rnacentral:rRNA from 1 species